CCCGGGCAGAGGGCACGUCGGUUCCCACGCUCCUGCCCUGGGCCCGGGGCGUUCUCGGGACGGCGUGGCCGCGCUCGCCACCGCCGCCGAGGCCAGGCUGUAAUUAGGGUAAUUGCGCUGCUCCCUCCCUGGGGCCCGGCAGGACCCCGGCUGCGCUGCGCUGGCCCGGGAGGGAAGGAGCAGGGGGUGGCCAGGCCCCCGGCGCAGCCUGCUCCUCCAGACAGGUGAGUCAGCACACCGGGGCGGCCCCAGCCUAGGGGGGCUUCUGAAGUAGGCUUUGUGGGGAAAUGAGGGAAGGGAGAGGUGCCUUGGUGGAGCACCAAGGUGGUGGAUUAGGCUCUUGCUGGACCUUGGCGUAUUCAAGAAGAAUCUGUACCGUCCCCGGUGAUGCCUGACCCAGAGAAGGCGCUCAGAACCCGGACUAGCAACCCAAUCUGGCAGCAAUUUAACAGAUGUUCCUUGACCUCUGAGGGUGCACAGAAUGUGCUUUUUUCCCCUUGGCUGCGUGGCUGACUGGGCCACAGCUCCCUGCCCCUGCCCAGCAUCAUGAGAGCAUCGUUCCCCAAAUUGCGAACCAGGGAAAAGAUCCAAAUUCAGAAGUCCAAGUACAGUUUCGA
rnacentral:lncRNA from 1 species